rnacentral:rRNA from 1 species
UCCGAUUGAUCCCGUCGGACCCCACUGCUAUCGAGAUGGGACUAAGGUAUGCUAGUCGAACGACCAGAACUAUGUCUGGAAGUGGCACACUGCUCAGUAACACGUAGCUAACCUACCCUUAGGACGUGGAUACCCCCGAGAAAUUGGGGUUAAUCCGCGAUAGGUGUGUCCUGGAAUGGUAUUACGCCUAAAGGUGUAUCAUACAUGUUUGAUAUACGCCUAAGGAUGGGGCUGCGGCCGAUCAGGCUGUUGGUGAGGUAAUGGCUCACCAAACCUUUGACCGGUACGGGCCAUGAGAGUGGUAGCCCGGAGAUGGACACUGAGACAAGGGUCCAGGCCCUAAGGGGCGCAGCAACCGCGAAACCUCCACAAUGCACUCACGUGCGAUGGGGCUAUCUCGAGUGACACCUGAUGAAGGUGGCUUUUCCUAGGUCUUCAAAGCCUUGGGAAUAAGAGGGGGGCAAGACUGGUGUCAGCCGCCGCGGUAACACCAGCCCCUCGAGUGGUGGGGAUGAUUAUUUGGCCUAAAGCGUCCGUAGCCGGCCGAGCAAGUCUUCCGUUAAAUCCAGCGUCUCAAGCGUCGGACUGCGGGAGAUACUACACGGCUAGAGAGUGGGAGAGGUCAGCGGUAUUCUGGGGGUAGGGGCGAAAUCCUUUGAUCCCCGGAGGACCACCAGUGGCGAAGGCUGCUGACUAGAACACGUCUGACGGUCAGGGACGAAAGCUGGGGUAGCGAACCGGAUUAGAUACCCGGGUAGUCCCAGCCGUAAACGAUGCAUGCUAGGUGUUGGGUUGGCCACGAGCCACCCCAGUGCCGCAGGGAAGCCGUUAAGCAUGCCGCCUGGGAAGUACGAUCGCAAGAUUGAAACUUAAAGGAAUUGGCGGGGGAGCACCACCAGGCGUGAAGCCUGCGGUUUAAUUGGAGUCAACGCCGGGAACCUUACCGGGAGCGACAGCAGAAUGAAGGCCAGAUUGAAGACCUUGCCAGACGAGCUGAGAGGAGGUGCAUGGCCGUCGCCAGUUCGUGCCGUGAGGUGUUCUCUUAAGUGAGAUAACGAACGAGACCCGUGCCACAUGUUGCCACCAGUAUCUAAAGGAUAGCUGAGCACUCUUGUGGGACCGCAGCCGAUAAGGCUGAGGAAGGUACGGGCAACGGCAGGUCAGUAUGCCCCGAAUCUCCCGGGCCACACGCGGGCUGCAAUGGUACAGACAGAGGGCUGCCACCCCGAAAGGGGGAGCCAAUCCCUAAACUGUACCUCAGUUGGGAUCGAGGGUUGCAACCCACCCUCGUGAACAUGGAAUGCCUAGUAACCGCCAGUCAUCAUCUGGCGGUGAAUACGUCCCUGCUCCUUGCACACACUGCCCGUCGAACCACCCGAAUGAGGUUUGGGUGAGGAAUGGUCGAAUGUUGGCCGUUUCGAACCUGGGCCUCGUAAGGAGGGUUAAGUCGUAACAAGGUG